CCUACGGGAGGCAGCAGUGGGGUAUAUUGCACAAUGGGCGAAAGCCUGAUGCAGCGACGCCGCGUGAGGGAUGACGGCCUUCGGGUUGUAAACCUCCUUCAGCAGGGACGAAAUUGACGGUACCUGCAGAAGAAGCCCCGGCUAACUACGUGCCAGCAGCCGCGGUAACACGUAGGGGGCAAGCGUUGUCCGGAUUUAUUGGGCGUAAAGAGCUCGUAGGUGGCUAAGUAAGUCGGGUGUCAAAUCCCCAGGCUCAACCUGGGUCUCCACUCGAUACUGCUUUGGCUAGAGUCCGGUAGGGGAGCGUGGAAUUCCUGGUGUAGCGGUGAAAUGCGCAGAUAUCAGGAGGAACACCAGCGGCGAAGGCGGCGCUCUGGGCCGGUACUGACACUGAGGAGCGAAAGCGUGGGUAGCAAACAGGAUUAGAUACCCUGGUAGUCCACGCCGUAAACGUUGGGCACUAGGUGUGGGGUCUAUUCAACGGACUCCGUGCCGUCGCUAACGCAUUAAGUGCCCCGCCUGGGGAGUACGGCCGCAAGGCUAACACUCAAAGGAAUUGACAAUCCCGCGGC
rnacentral:rRNA from 1 species